CCUACGGGAGGCAGCAGUAGGGAAUCUUCCACAAUGGGCGAAAGCCUGAUGGAGCAACGCCGCGUGGGUGAAGAAGGUCUUCGGAUCGUAAAACCCUUUUGUUAGAGAAGAAAAUGCGUGAGAGUAACUGUUCACGUUUCGACGGUAUCUAACCAGAAAGCCACGGCUAACUACGUGCCAGCAGCCGCGGUAAUACGUCGGUGGCAAGCGUUAUCCGGUGUUAUUGGGCUGAAGGGGAACGCAGGCGGUCUUUUAAGUCUGAUGUGAAAGCCCUCGGCUUAACCGGGGUAGUGCAUGGGAAACUGGGAGACUUGAGUGAAGAAGAGGAGAGUGGAA
rnacentral:rRNA from 1 species